AUGAUAAAAACUCCAGACAUAGAAUUUGAUGGAAUGGAUGUGAAUGCUCUAACGGUAGUGGUGGAGUGGUUGUGGAAAGACUUGAUAUUUAUUGUGACUCAGGUUCGACUCCCACUAUCCCUAUUAUUUUCUGCGGCAUCCAGGUGAAGGGCGAAUACUGGUGACACCGGUUCGUUUUAGAUAGGAGGUGAGGUUUUACCAAUUAUCCGAUUGUCGUACCUUCGAACGGGUGAAUGUCGGGUUUCUUGCCGUAAAAAAAAGUACAGAAUUAUUCUAUCAAAUUACCUCAUACCAUCGUCCGAAACUCCCAGGUUAUUUCCACAAUCUACCUACCACUUUAAAGUUUAAAUACUAAUAUACUCGUUUUGACAAACCCUCACACACCCUUAAAUUAACCCUCUUCCUCUCAUCUUCCAGUCAACCACCGCCGCUGCACCACCGUUACGGCCGCACAAUCUAUCUUAUCUGGAUUGACAACCAGUUUAAUGUAUCAGUUCAUCAGUUUCAGCAAAGUCAAAUAUAUGUUUUUGUUGAAGAGAUUGGGUCUCUAAUCUGUGACUUUGAUGGCGAUCCGAAGAUCAGCAAUGGAAGAUCUUCAAUGAGCACACGUGGACUACACUACUUUCAUAAAUGUGUUGUGAUGACAGAAGAGAAUCGUACACCAUGAUAUAAAGAGCGCAAACGUCCUUUUAGAUUGUAAUUAUCAAUCUAAAUCAAGGAAGUUGCGGAUUUGGAAAGGUGUAUGAUGCUUAUGGAGAGGUGUACAACGAAAUUGAAAUGCUUACUAGGCAGUUUCGUUGUUAUUUCACGAGAAGAUUCUUAUCUAUGAGUUUAUAUCUCAUAGAAUUUAUUAAUUACUCUUGAUGUAUCAGACGGACUAAACUACCUUCAUGAGGGACUAAGUUACCUUCAUAUACUAACUGUUGUUAAAAAACAGUUAAUAAUGGACUGGACUACCUUCAUAUUUCUAUCAAUACUUCACAUAGAGUCUUUAUGUAUAGAUCUAAUUUGAUUAUGUUUUGUUUAAAUAUGUUUUUAAUAUAAUUAUUGGUUUUCUUUUGUAUCAAGUCAGAGUAAUGCUCUGUCUGGGCUGGCUGCCGGAAGGCAUCCACAUCGUUGUCUGCUUUUACCUAUCUAAGCAUUCGGUGUCCAUCCGUGCUCCAAUGUCCAUCACAUUUUCCCCUAGAAUGUGAGGCGCCUUUUCUAACAUGUCCCAAGUAUUGAUGCUAAUGUUUACUUAGAAUGGCAACAAUCUUUCCUUCUUGUGAAUUACUCCAACUCUCUAUUGGAGUCCUAAAUAGUUAAAUAGUUUACUAGAAG
rnacentral:lncRNA from 1 species